rnacentral:rRNA from 1 species
UGCAGUCGAGUGCGCAGCUUUCUGUAGCAAUACAGGAAGUGGGCGCACGGCGCACGGGUGAGUAACACGUGGGUAACCUGCCCUUGGAUGGGGAAUAACCCCGCGAAAGCGGGGCUAAUACCGCAUAACAUUCUUGAAACCUUGGUUUCGAGACUCAAAGCCGUAAGGCGUCCGAGGAGUGGCCCGCGUACGAUUAGCUAGUUGGCGGGGUAACGGCUCACCAAGGCUUUGAUCGUUAGCCGGUCUGAGAGGAUGGCCGGCCACACUGGAACUGAGACACGGUCCAGACUCCUACGGGAGGCAGCAGUGGGGAAUAUUGCGCAAUGGGCGAAGGCCUGACGCAGCGACGCCGCGUGGGGGAUGACGCUUUUCGGAGUGUAAACCCCUUUCGAUCGGGACGAAUGCCUCGCAAGAGGAGUGACGGUACCGGUAGAAGAAGCCCCGGCUAACUACGUGCCAGCAGCCGCGGUAAUACGUAGGGGGCCAGCGUUGCUCGGAAUAACUGGGCGUAAAGGGUUCGUAGGCGGUGCGGCAAGUUGGGAGUGAAAUCUAUGGGCUUAACUCAUAGACUGCUUUCAAAACUGCCGUGCUAGAGUGCGGGAGAGGCCAGUGGAAUUGCAGGUGUAGCGGUGAAAUGCGUAGAUAUCUGCAGGAACACCCGUGGCGAAGGCGGCUGGCUGGACCGCAACUGACGCUGAGGAACGAAAGCUAGGGGAGCAAACAGGAUUAGAUACCCUGGUAGUCCUAGCCCUAAACGAUCAGAACUUGGGGUGCAUCCCGUUGGGGGUGCGUCUCGUAGCUAACGCGUUAAGUUCUGCGCCUGGGGAGUACGGUCGCAAGACUGAAACUCAAAGGAAUUGAC